CCCUUAGACGUUCUGGGCCGCACGCGCGCUACACUGACCAGUGCAACAAGCAUCCGUCCUUGGCCGACAGGCCCGGGCAAUCUUUGAACGCUGGUCGUGAUGGGGAUAGACUUUUGCAAUUUUUGGUCUUCAACGAGGAAUUCCUAGUAAACGCAAGUCAUCAACUUGCAUUGAUUACGUCCCUGCCCUUUGUACGCACCGCCCGUCGCACCUACCGAUUGAAUGGUCCGGUGAAGCCUCCGGAUUGGCGCGCACCUCGGUGCCGCCGAGAAGUUGGCUAAACCUUACCAUUUAGAGGAAGGAGAAGUCGUAACA
rnacentral:rRNA from 1 species